rnacentral:rRNA from 1 species
UAAAGUAAGAAAGAGCGUAUGGCGGAUGCCUAGGCACAGAGAGGCGAAGAAGGACGCAGCAAACAGCGAAAUGCGACGGUUAGCAGUAAGCAUGCAACGAUCCGUCGAUGUCCGAAUGGGGGAACCCACCUGGAGUAGAGACCAGGUAUCCUGAAGUGAAUAAAUAGCUUCAGAGAGGCGAGACUCAGGGAACUGAAACAUCUAAGUACCUGAAGGAAGAGAAAAUAAACGAAUGAUUCCCUAAGUAGCGGCGAGCGAAAGGGGAAGAGCCCAAACCGAUCUUAGGAUCGGGGUUGUAGGACUGUCGGCAAAGAGCAAGAAAUCAUUAUAGGCGAACGGAAUGGGAAGUCCGGCGAAACAGGGUGACAGCCCCGUAGCCGAAAUAGUGAAGAAGCACGAGACAGCACCUGAGUACGGCGGGACACGAGGAAUCCUGUCGGAAUCCACCAGGACCAUCUGGUAAGGCUAAAUACUCCUCUGUGACCGAUAGUGAACCAGUACCGUGAGGGAAAGGUGAAAAGAACCCCGGGAGGGGAGUGAAAUAGAACCUGAAACCAUAUGCUUACAAGAAGUUAGAGCCCGUUAAAGGGUGAUAGCGUGCCUUUUGUAGAAUGAACCGGCGAGUUACGAUAUGGAGCGAGGUUAAGCAGGAUAUGCGGAGCCGAAGCGAAAGCGAGUCUUAAUAGGGCGAAAGUUGCAUGUCGUAGACCCGAAACCGAGUGAUCUAGCCAUGACCAGGUUGAAGUUGGGGUAAAACCCGAUGGAGGACCGAACCGACCCCCGUUGAAACGUUGGCGGAUGAGUUGUGGCUAGGGGUGAAAUUCCAAUCGAACUCGGAGAUAGCUGGUUCUCCCCGAAAUAGCUUUAGGGCUAGCGUCGAGGUAAAGUCGUGUGAAGGUAGAGCACUGAAUAUGUGAUGGCCCCAUCUCGGGGUACUGAACAUAAUCAAACUCCGAAUGUCACAAAGAUAUACUCGGCAGUCAGACAGUGGGUGAUAAGGUCCAUUGUCAAAAGGGAAACAGCCCAGACCAUCAGCUAAGGUCCCAAAAUAUAUACUAAGUGGAAAAGGAUGUGGAGAUGUCCAGACAACUAGGAGGUUGGCUCAGAAGCAGCCAUCCUUUAAAGAGUGCGUAACAGCUCACUAGUCGAAUGACUCUGCGCCGAUAAUUUACCGGGGCUAAGUAUAUUACCGAAGCUAUGGAUUUACGCGUAAGCGUGAGUGGUAGGGGAGCGUUCUAUGUGCGGAGAAGCGGUACCGUAAGGAGCCGUGGAGCGCAUAGAAGAGAGAAUGCCGGUGUGAGUAGCGAAACGUGGGUGAGAAUCCCACGCACCGAAAACCCAAGGUUUCCAGAGGAAGGUUCGUCCGCUCUGGGUAAGUCGGGACCUAAGGCGAGGCCGAGAGGCGUAGUCGAUGGACAACAGGUAGAGAUUCCUGUACUUACGGUAUGAAUGAUGGAGUGACGGAGAAGGCUAGCGGAUCCUGCUGAUGGAAAUGCAGGUGCAAGCGAGGUAGCCGACAGCCAGGCAAAUCCGGCUGUCGAAAGGCAAAGGCGUGAGGCGUAUGGAAAGCUGCGGCAAGUACAGAAGUCCGUGAAGCCAGCUUCCAAGAAAAGCUUCUAGUGAUAAUCAUACAGUAACCCGUACCGAAAAUGGACACACAUGGGUGAGGAGAGAAUCCUAAGGUGAGCGAGAGAACUAUAGCUAAGGAACUCUGCAAAAUGACUCCGUAACUUAGGGAUAAGGAGUGCUCAUAGAGAUAUGAGCCGCAGUGAAACGGCCCAAGCGACUGUUUACCAAAAACACAGCUCUAUGCUAAGUCGAAAGACGACGUAUAUGGGGUGACGCCUGCCCGGUGCUGGAAGGUUAAGAGGAUGUGUCAGCGCAAGCGAAGCAUUGAAUUGAAGCCCCAGUAAACGGCGGCCGUAACUAUAACGGUCCUAAGGUAGCGAAAUUCCUUGUCGGGUAAG